UACGAAGGGGGCUAGCGUUGCUCGGAAUCACUGGGCGUAAAGCGCACGUAGGCGGAUUGUUAAGUCAGGGGUGAAAUCCUGGAGCUCAACUCCAGAACUGCCUUUGAUACUGGCGAUCUUGAGUCCGGGAGAGGUGAGUGGAACUGCGAGUGUAGAGGUGAAAUUCGUAGAUAUUCGCAAGAACACCAGUGGCGAAGGCGGCUCACUGGCCCGGUACUGACGCUCAGGCGCGACAGCGUGGGGAGCAAACAGG
rnacentral:rRNA from 1 species